rnacentral:rRNA from 1 species
AUUGAACGCUGGCGGCAGGCCUAACACAUGCAAGUCGAGCGGAUGAGAGGAGCUUGCUCCUCGAUUCAGCGGCGGACGGGUGAGUGAUGCCUAGGAAUCUGCCCAGUAGUGGGGGACAACGUUUCGAAAGGAACGCUAAUACCGCAUACGUUCUACGGGAGAAAGUGGGGGAUCUUCGGACCUCACGCUAUUGGAUGAUCCUAGGUCGGAUUAGCUGGUUGGUAGGGUAAAGGCCAACCAAGGAGACGAUCCGUAACUGGUCUGAGAGGAUGAUCAGUCACACUGGAACUGAGACACGGUCCAGACUCCUACGGGAGGCAGCAGUGGGGAAUAUUGGACAAUGGGCGCAAGCCUGAUCCAGCCAUGCCGCGUGUGUGAAGAAGGCCCUCGGGUCGUAAAGCACUUUAAGUUGGGAGGAAGGGCUUACAGCGAAUACCUGUGAGUUUUGACGUUACCGACAGAAUAAGCACCGGCUAACUUCGUGCCAGCAGCCGCCGUAA